AUCCUAAGCCAGAAUAAUCCAUCUGCGCAUCACCCCAGCCCCAGUGACCCAGUUGAAAGGAUGUUGCUCUGACUUGAAAGCCAGUGUUUGUCUUUAAUUAGGAAGAAAGAAUGUGUGUGAUUUAUUGCCAGCUUUCUCCGAGCCCCUUCUCUUCUUGAUCUCAUCCGUUCAGGGAAGAAAGGAGAGAAAGAAGAAAAAGGCGGAGAUGCUAUCGAAUCCUCUCCUUGGGCCAAGGCAAAGAUGGCGUGAUGCUCGACAAAUUGAAAAAGAAAAACCUUUCUUGAUAGUAUAAUAAUCCUUUAAUGAAGCCCUCUGUCAGAUGGAGCUGAUGGUCUAAUAAUUGGAACCGCGAAAGCCUGGAAAUAUUUUGUGUGCUGUUCUCAUUUUUUCGGUUGUAGAACUCAGACAUCCCCAGAGGCAGAAGGAGUGUUGAAUUAAUUGAAGUUUCUCCUUAUUACUUUAAAAAUAUCCGUGCAUCCUUGACCCAGAUUCCUCAGAGAGACCUUUUUGUUCCAGCUCUUGGAGUCAACAGAGAAAUAGCCUUAUCAGUUGUUCCUCAGGAAAAGGAUUUGUGUUUGGGGGGUUUUUUCAUGGUAUUUGUUAAGCACUAAGCACUAUACUAAGCACUGGGGUAGAUACAAGCUAAUCCAGCUGGACAAAAUUGAUGUCCCACAUAGGGCUCCUGGAUCUUAAUCCCCAUUUUCUAGAUGAGGGAACUGAGGCACAGAGAGGUGAAGUGACUGAAAGAAAAGACAGUGGCAAAGCCAAAGUCCUUGCUUAACGCUUCCCAGUCGGUUCCUUCUCCCUUCUGUUGUCACCCUGACUUGCUCCCUUUAUUUAUCCCCCAUCCCAGCCCCA